ACACUUUCCCCCUCCUGCUUUCCCUUAAAUCGUUCUCUACUUUCCUAGUCCGACUGUUUGUCGUUUUUUGUAUCAUUUUUGACAUAAGUCGAAGAGUUGAAAAUUGAAAUUGCUAUUUUCUGAUGAACAGAGUGAUGGAUUUUGAAACUGAACUGCAGAAGGUGUACUCCGUGCUUGCUCGGAUAGGCAAUCUCGGGCUUCUUCGACUAUUGUGGCAUUGCCUACAUUUUAUUAUUAGCUUGUGGUAUUUUGGCUUGCAUGUAGCUGAUACACUUGAAAGCUAUCUUAUUUCUGCUGGAAUAUUUAAGAGUUACCAGACCCUCAAUAUACACAAGCUCCAUUACCUGGCCAUUGUAGUGGAAAGUGAGGAUGCCUACCAAAUUUCAAAAGUUGUACAGCUUUUGCAGUGGUUGGCAGAUAUUGGUGUUAGACGUGUGUGCCUCUAUGAUAGAGAAGGCAUACUGAAGAUAUCAAGGGGAUCUAUAUUGGACAAAUUGAAAAAUGUGAAAUUAUUUGAGGAUGUUGAUGAAAAUGAAUCGCAAAUGGACCAGCAACUCAUGACUAUAGAAUUUGUUUCGUUCUCUGAUGGAAAGGAAGGGUUGGCCAAGGCAGCAAACUUACUUUUUAAAGAGUAUUUGAAGUUGGGUGGACUCAACAGAGAACAAGAAGAGAAAAUUUUAACUGACUCACACUUGACUGAGGCACUAAUAGCUGUUUCAAGGGGCCAGACCCGGACCUUCUUCUUGUUUAUGGACCUGCAAGAUGCCACCUUGGUUUCCCUGCAUGGAGAAUUCGAUAUACUGAGUUUGUGCAUAUGGGACCCUUGAUGUCCAUGAAGUAUGGUUUACUCAUAAAGGCCAUUUAUAAAUUCACUAAGGUGCGGCAAAAUUAUGGUUUUUGAGCUAUUACAAUCAUGGGCAGCCAUAUUCAGUUUAAUGAAGAGGGGCACGUAAUCUUCUUAACCUUGUAAGCUUUAAGACAUAAUAGACUGAGCCAGAUGUAAUAAAUCCUUUUUCAUAACAAAUUUAUUUUAUCUGUAUGGAAGAAAAUCCCAUGACUA